AGACGUCUCUUUCCAUACGGGUGUGUUGAGCUCCAUAACAACCAGGAGUCACUUAGCAGGAACUGGCUCUCUUAAGUACCAAAGUUGUUAUUCGUCACGGAUUGGUUGCCAUUCUUCAAAUCUAAUCUCAGUGCACAGAUUGCGACAGGACAAGGACCCAACAACGCGUGGAAUUCAGUCCUGGCCGCUGGCUGAAUGAAAAAUAAAGCACAAACAGACGGAGCAUGUCUGAGCGUGAUGUGUGUGUUCGUGUGUGUGCAUGUGUGUGCGUGCAGGGCGGACAUUAAGGCCUGAGAGGAGAUUCCUAAAAAUCAAGACAAUGUCGGGACAAAGAUGUGAGCACCAUGAAUGAAACCUGUUUAGCUUGUGUCAACAUGAGAACCAGCUCUAAUCCGCUGACCACCUGUUUAUUUAUUAAUACACAGAAAAUGUUAAUUGAGGGCAUUUCAUGGGCAUCAUACAUAUGUAAAUAUUUGUGUGUGUGUGUGUGUGUGUGUGUGUGUGUUCAUGCACUUGUUUAGUGUUUAUUUCUUCUUAUGAACAUAUGCGAGUCUCAUUUCAUUAUCACAAGACAAACCUCAUUAAUAAAAUGUGCCUAAAAUACAUUAAAAGCAUAAAGGAAACAAAGAGACAAUGUGAGACACUGAGGCGGGACAUAAUACACAUCUCAAAGCCUCUGGAAACAGUAUGAAAAUAUCCAUCUAAACAGGAUCAUUAUGCAAAAACAACAAUAAACUGGUUCUGAUGAUAAACAGACUGUCAUAUCUCUAUACCCGAGCCAGAGGGCAACACACUCUGUGACAUCCAUCUUCUUUAAGUAACACCGCUCAUAAUGACACUGCGCAUGGUGGGAGCAAAACACACACGCCAAUGUACCGCCAUAAACACA